ensembl:snRNA U6 U6 spliceosomal RNA
AUGCUUCAGCAGCACAUAUACAAAAAUUGGAACAACAUAGAGAAGAUUAGUAUGGUCCCCUGCACAAGGAUGGCUAACAUACAGCAUUCCAUAUUAAA